GGAGAGAGAGAAACAAGAGCUGUGAAAAUGAGAAAACUUGCCGAGGAGUGUAGCAUCAUCAAUCAGCUGCUAAUCUGCCAACAGUUCAUCUCGAGGCUCAGAUUAGUGUCCUUUCACUAAUGCCAAACAGCUAAUCUGGUUUAGUCCUCAUGAAGAUCUAACCUGAAACAAAGUACCAGAAACAGCUUGCUCAGAAAGUAUCCAGAGAUGGAAGUGCCUGGAGUGGAGGAGCUCUGGCUGGCAGGGAAGGAGGAAGCCUCAAAAGCAGAAUGAAUUAGACACCACCACCACUAUCUGGCCACAGCCCUUUGCUCCUGUAGUUACUUCAUUGUAUCCUGGAUUGCACAUAAGACAAUAAGAGAACAAGCUCUCUGAACGGUCCAAACCACUCUUUCUUUGGUUGGCUUCACUCAACACUGCAGUAGAUUUUAGGGUUUGAAAGUAGAUUAGGGUUUGAAAGAGAGAGAGAAAGGAACGUUCUUCCAAUUAUGUCGGCUUUGACCAUUGAGUUUUGUAUGUGAAUGUCACAAACAUUUCACAACAGGUCAUAUG
rnacentral:lncRNA from 1 species